UUGUCUCCUAGGCGACCGACGCUGAAAGGGCCGCGGAGUCGCGUGUCAGGGCUGGAGGGAGAUCUUGAGGUCCUCCCAGUGACUGACCUGGCUCAUUCUCCGAAAGUGGUUGACAGGCCACUACGAGAGCUCUUGAGAGAAGCUUUGUGACAUGAAAUUCAUCAAAUGAAGCAAGAUUCAUUUUUAAAGAAUAAUACAAAGCUCCAGAGUAAUAUGCUUAAUCCAAAUGUUUAAAUAGAAUUUAAAACCACAUUUUAAGUAAAUUUAAAAUUAAUGAAAUAUCAAUAGUUUGCCUUAACAAGGACUUGCUUGAACCAUGUUCUCCUUUUAAAAUCACACACACAGAAUCAGUGUACAUUUAGAGAAAUUUCCCCAGCUGAAUAACAUUUUUGACAUGAAUUCAUUCAAAAGACACCAACCAUUAUGAAUAUUUUAGGCCAUGAUAAGCUGUAACCACCUCCGGCUUAUGGUGGUUAGGAUGUUGCAGCUUAAUGUUGACAUCUGG
rnacentral:antisense_RNA from 1 species